AUGGAAAUUUGUCUUUUUCAAGACUCUUUCUAUACCCUUUGUUUACCCUACCACGUUGCUUCCACUGGACAGGUCUUCGGACCCUUUGGCAAGUCUUUCACAGACCUGUUGGGGAGUUGCCGGUGGAUGACACAAACCAAAGACUUAAACCGAAAUUUACUUUGUCUGAAUCAUUUUAUAAAUUAUUAUA
rnacentral:misc_RNA from 1 species